rnacentral:tRNA from 1 species
GGGAAAGUGGCUCAGUGGUAGAGCACUUGCCUUGCAUACAUGAGGCCCUGGGUUCAAUUCCUCAGCACCA